UGGGGAAUAUUGCACAAUGGGCGCAAGCCUGAUGCAGCCAUGCCGCGUGUGUGAAGAAGGCCUUCGGGUUGUAAAGCACUUUCAGCGGGGAGGAAGGCGGUGAGGUUAAUAACCUCAUCGAUUGACGUUACCCGCAGAAGAAGCACCGGCUAACUCCGUGCCAGCAGCCGCGGUAAUACGGAGGGUGCAAGCGUUAAUGGG
rnacentral:rRNA from 1 species